AACGAACGCUGGCGGCAGGCCUAACACAUGCAAGUCGAACGCCCCGCAAGGGGAGUGGCAGACGGGUGAGUAACGCGUGGGAACGUACCCUUCGGUUCGGGAUAACUCAGGGAAACUUGAGCUAAUACCGGAUACGUCCGAGAGGAGAAAGAUUUAUCGCCGAGGGAUGAGCCCGCGUAGGAUUAGCUAGUUGGUGGGGUAAAGGCCUACCAAGGCGACGAUCCUUAGCUGGUCUGAGAGGAUGAUCAGCCACACUGGGACUGAGACACGGCCCAGACUCCUACGGGAGGCAGCAGUGGGGAAUAUUGGACAAUGGGCGAAAGCCUGAUCCAGCAAUGCCGCGUGAGUGAUGAAGGCCCUAGGGUUGUAAAGCUCUUUUACCCGGGAAGAUAAUGACUGUACCGGGAGAAUAAGCCCCGGCUAAC
rnacentral:rRNA from 1 species